rnacentral:rRNA from 1 species
CCUACGGGUGGCUGCAGUGAGGAAUAUUGGUCAAUGGGCUUACGCCUGAACCAGCCAAGUCGCGUGAGGGAAGACUGCCCUAUGGGUUGUAAACCUCUUUUGUCAGGGAGCAACGCCCGCUACGUGUAGCCUGACUGAGAGUACCUGAAGAAAAAGCAUCGGCUAACUGCGUGCCAGCAGCCGCGGUAAUACGUAGGUGGCAAGCGUUGUCCGGAAUUACUGGGUGUAAAGGGAGCGCAGGCGGGAAGCCAAGUCAGCUGUGAAAACGACGGGCUUAACUUGUAGACUGCAGUUGAAACUGGUGUUCUUGAGUGAAGGAGAGGUUGGCGGAA